rnacentral:rRNA from 1 species
UACGUAGGGUGCAAGCAUUAAUCGGAAUUAUUGGGCGUAAAGGGCGCGUAGGCGGUCUAACAAGUCAGAUGUGAAAUUUCGGGGCUCAACCUCGAAGCUGCAUUUGAAACUGAGAGACUGGAGGGUUGUCGGAGAAAACGGAAUUCCACGUGUAGCGGUGAAAUGCGUAGAUAUGUGGAAGAACACCAGUGGCGAAAGCGGUUUUCUAGAUUACACCUGACGCUGAGGCGCGAGAGCAAGGGGAGCAAACAGG